rnacentral:rRNA from 1 species
UACGAAGGGGGCUAGCGUUGUUCGGAUUUACUGGGCUUAAAGCGCGCGCAGGCGGUCCUUCAAGUCAGGGGUGAAAGCCCAGAGCUCAACUCUGGAACUGCCUUUGAGACUGUAGGACUUGGGUAUGGGAGAGGUGAGUGGAAUUCCGAGUGUAGAGGUGAAAUUCGUAGAUAUUCGGAAGAACACCAGUGGCGAAGGCGGCUCACUGGCCCAUUACCGACGCUCAGGCGCGAUAGCGUGGGGAGCAAACAGG